rnacentral:rRNA from 1 species
UACGGGGGGGGCAAGCGUUGUUCGGAAUUACUGGGCGUAAAGGGCUCGUAGGCGGCCAACUAAGUCGGAUGUGAAAUCCCCAGGCUCAACCUGGGAACUGCAUCCGAUACUGGAUGGCUUGAAUUCGGGAGAGGGAUGCAGAAUUCCAGGUGUAGCGGUGAAAUGCGUAGAUAUCUGGAGGAAUACCGGUGGCGAAGGCGGCAUCCUGGACCGACAUUGACGCUGAGGAGCGAAAGCUAGGGGAGCAAACAGG